UUGACAAUCUUAUCGUGAAGGCAUACUUUCAGGAGUGAGGGUAGAGCGGGGUUUCCCCCGCCUUGGUAGUCUUAGUAUGCUGGGUAGCUAAUCACUAAGAGCACCACGAUGAUGACUAACUUCAUCAUGACCCUUUCCUUAUU
rnacentral:sRNA from 2 species